rnacentral:tRNA from 1 species
GGGGUUGUGGCUCAGCGGUAGGGCGCUCGCCUGGCACGUGCAAGACCCUGGGUUCGAUCCUCAGCUCCCCA